rnacentral:lncRNA from 1 species
GAAUGCAAAUUCUAAUUUAAACAGCUUCUGUGUUGGGCCUGAGAGUCUGCGUUUCUAACAAGCCCCAGGUGAUCUUAUGCUGCCAGUUGACCACAUUUGAGUAGCAGGGAGCUAGAUGAUUCUUCAGGGGGAUGCUGCAGAAGAUGCAUAACUUUUAAAAUUGGGGAAACGUAGAAGGACCAUAAGUUAGAGGUAGCCAGGGACACUGACUUCAGCAGGGGAAGCAGCCCCACAGGAGCAUGUGACAGGAACAUGCACAUCACAAGGAUAGUGUAAGCAUGUGUGCACGCAUCAAGAGAGGACUAGAAGGAGGCUCUCCACACUGUGAAGAGUAGUAGUCUUUGGAUGUCUGGAUUUCGGGCUCUCGCUCUCCUGCUGACCUGAAAGAAGCAAGUGGCUGUAUUGUGAACUGCCUAAUGGAGAGGGCCACGUCGCGGGAAACUGGGGACGGCCUCAGGAGCUGAGUAACCUCUGGCCAACAGCCAGCAAGAAACUGAAUCUGUUGGUGCUACAGCUGCGAGGGAGUGAAUUCGGCAACAAGCUGAGUGAGCUUGGAAGUGAAUUCCUUCCUCAAGAUAAAAACACAGGCUGGCGGAUACCUUGGUUGCAGCCUUGUGUGACCCAGAGCCCAAGACCCAGUUAAGUCAUGCCUGGACUCCUGAUCUGCAGAAACCGGGAGACAGUAAAUGUGUGGUGUUUAAGCUGCUAAAUUUGUGGCAAUGUUUUUUACGCAGCAAUAGAAAACUAAUAUAUCCUCCCACCAGCAGUGUGUGAGAAUUUGACAUGCUUUCUGCCAAACCCCUCGUAUUGUCAGUCUUUUUAACUUUGGCCAUGCUGGUGGGUGUGUAUUGUGAUUUUAAUUUGAAUAUUCUAGAUGACUAAUAAUGUUGAGCACUUUUUCAUAUGCUUAUUGGUCAUUUGGAUAUACUCUUUAAUGAAGUGCCUUUCAAAUAUUUUCCCAUUAAAAAAAAUUGAGUUGCCUGUCUUUUUUUUUUUUUUUUGCUGGGAAAGAUUCACCCUGAGCUAACAUCUGUUGCCAAUCUUCCUCUCUCUUU